GCUAGCGAGAGUUACAAACGGCGCUUCCGGUAAUGACUUUCACAAUAAAACCUCGGAAUUGUACACUUUUGCAUUUGCACAAUGAUAUAUCAGAUAAAAGCUGAUCCAAUCACAUGUUCGGUAUUCUAACUUAAUUCAUUUCAACAAACAUCUGUUGGGAAAUCGUGGAAAUACCCGUCAUUAGACACGGUAAGCACGUCCUGCAGCUCUGUAGCGUCUUUAGUUUGAAAGCGACAAUAAUCUUGUUUCCUGUAUUUUGGUGAGUUUGACAGGUUCAAUGCUUUACGCCGACUGGUCAAGAGGCCCGUCAGUACUCCGAGCAGCCUGUGCAAUAACAUGUUUGCGAGCGACCUCUAGCGGUGUGAUUGUGACAGUGGGGAUAAAGUGGGUUACGUACAUCUCAAGACAUCUUAUUACCUUCCUGUGUAGGUUUUACCUUUGAUUGUAAUGUCAGUAAUUUUGUAAAGGGCUAUGUAAAGAGCCAGAGUCCGUACGGUCCAGAGCUAAUAAAAAUACGCAUCAUUCCCCAAUGAAACAUCCUAUUUCUUAUUAUUCAUCAACUUUUACCUCUAUAGAAGUGUAUCUACCUGACUUUACUAUGAUUUAUAUCACGAAUUUAAAUGUAUUAAAAUGUGUGUUGAAUCAUGUAAUCUAUGUAGGUUAUAUGCAGCUGAGGGGCCCCGCUACCCACUGUUUGAAUUGGUAUAAUAGUUAUAGUAAAAUGUAAUAUGAGAGUUUCUCGCUGAAGCUACAGGAUCAAUUGUAACAGAAGUCAUUAUUUCAAAAGUUAGUCUGUUAUCUUAGUAAAUCCUUCAGGGCUAAAAGUUUGGUUGCAAUUUAUCUGAUUGAAGUUCUCUUGGCCACCUGUUGAGGGCGACACAAUACAUCUAAUGCAGGCCAAAACCUUUUUGGCACAUACUGUACAUUAUAGCUUUUAUUUUUAAUCUUAAUCUAAGGUUUUUGCAGAUUUGUUAUAAACAGGAUACCUGGAUUUUAUAAAUUUACAAAGCCCCUUAGACACUGAAAAGCCCCUGAGUCAUAAUAACAUUAAAGUGUGAUGACAAGCCUUAAAUGUUGUUUAUGCUCAUCUGCUCUUACAUCAAUAAUUAAGUAGCUUAAGUACUUUGGUUUAUUCAAGCAGCCUCUCCCCAAAUUUGGGGGGAGAGUAAGGGAAAUAUAUGUCAUUAAUUAAGAGAACUGAUGACCCUAUGUUUAUAUUAAGGGUAUAUAAAAGGUGUUAUUGUAGAUAAUAAGAUGAUAAAAGACUAGUGUUCAGGUUGAUAACUCUUAAAAAAACAAUACAAACAAUUAUUUAUCUGGAAUGCACGUCAUUGUUUAUUCCCAGAACAAUUCAGCUUACAACUUUGGCAUUUUUAUUUCCAGCAAUAAAUAAAAUAUUAUAUAAACGUCUUUAUCAUCUUUAUUUGCACAAAUCUGACUUGAGUUUAUGCACAAAUCUGAUAUUUUUAGAUAAAUAAAUAUGCCAGAUAAGGACACAUCACAUUUGUUUAAUAGUUCGAAUCUGCUGUCUUGGCAGAUUUUACUUGUUUCUUCAUGAUAUGAGUGAUGGGUUAGUGGCUGUCAAUAACUUAGGUAAUACUUCAGCUUACACUAUAACUGCAAUUGAGACUUUAUUAUAAUGUAGAAUCACUAUUUUGUCACAAGAGUUUUUUCUAUUCAGCUCAUUUUAACCUGAAGUCUCACAGACGAGGCCAGAUUUCUUAUCCUGUGAGAAUUGGUCAGUAUGUUUACAUGAUUGUCUUUGGCCCGUGGAAGUAACUCCUCCCAGGAACCGUGGUGGGAAUUAGAUGAAAGUAGUGACUAUCUGUAAGUAUCUCACAGGAUAUGAGGAGACAUUUCCACAGAAGCAUUUCCAUACAGUAGAGGAGAGUGACAGUGUGAGCAGAAAGAUGUUCUCUGCCCUUAGGAGACCCACACUGACCCGGUCCAGGUUGAUGAAAGCCAUUCAGCAAACUCACAAGUCAACCAUCUACAGCAAGCCACCAAAGGAAAGGAUCGGGACAGUGCAAUCUGUCUUUGCCUUAUGUGUGUUUGCUGGGACUCUCUUGGGCCCGGCUGGAUGGAUCUUGCAUCACAUCCCAGAGUAUCGGCAGAGACCACCGCCUUGACUGGGACUUCCGCAAGAACUCUGCAUUCAGAAAGACUCCCAUACACUGUUAUUAAGUGUAGAUCUUUCCAGUGUGUAAAAUGUUGUAAAGGGAAGUGCAACUUGAUGAUAAAAUGUAUAAAGACUUUGACAUGA